rnacentral:lncRNA from 1 species
CUUGAUGAGAAUGUAUCUUCCUUGUAUGAGCUCUGAUGACCUAGUUUAAUUCUUGCUUGAGUGAUUCAUGACGAGGUGCUUGCUCAUGUGGUGAUAAUUUUAUAAACUGCAAAACUUGACAACUUGCUUUUUCUUUUGCUUAUGUCAUAAUAUCCUCUUGAUGGCGAUGCAAUUGCUCUUUAUGAUCUACCUGCUUGUGCAUUGUCUCACUUGUAGCCUUUGUAAAUGCAUUGUCAUAUAUUUGAGAAGCUUGGUAGGUUAUACACCCAUGGCAUGCAUUUUGUGCUCCCAUGUGUAUCUUAUGUUUGCAUUUAAGGGGGAGUCUUGUUAUUUAAUGGGGAGUUUUGCAUUUGAGGGGGAGCAUGCAUUCUUUUGUUCUUGUGCAUGCAUUUCAUUAUGGCAUGUUUUCAGGGGGAGUGUAUGCAUAUUUUCAGGGGGAGUGCAUUUGUUCAAGGGGAGUAUUUGCGAGCUUUUCAUGCUCUUGUGCUCGUUUGCCGGUCGUGUUUUUACCUCUUCUUGAGGAGCCGGUGUUUGAUUUGCUCGUUUGUUGGUCACGUUGAGCUUUUUUACCUCUUCAUGGGGAGCCGGUGUUUGGUUUGAACUUUUGAUUUUCACAUGAUUGGUGUUGAGACCUUUUUACCUCUUCUUGAGGGAUCAUGUGCUUUCGAUAUUCAAAUGAUUGGUGUUGAGCCCAUUCUGCCUCUUCUUGAGGGAUCAUGUGUUCUUUGUCUCGGUUGUGUCGAGCCAUUGCUUAUGUCUUUGGGGACCGAGACUUUUCUAAGUUAAUUUGGCCUUUGUGAUGUUUCUCAUGCCGAGUGACUUUAAUCUUUGCAUUUACAUGGGUUUAGAUCACUUAGAUGAGAGUUUUGCUUAAUUGGUUUCACAACUUGGCUCUUAUGG